rnacentral:rRNA from 1 species
GGUUAAGCGACUAAGCGUACACGGUGGAUGCCCUGGCAGUCAGAGGCGAUGAAGGACGUGCUAAUCUGCGAUAAGCGUCGGUAAGGUGAUAUGAACCGUUAUAACCGGCGAUUUCCGAAUGGGGAAACCCAGUGUGAUUCGUCACACUAUCAUUAACUGAAUCCAUAGGUUAAUGAGGCGAACCGGGGGAACUGAAACAUCUAAGUACCCCGAGGAAAAGAAAUCAACCGAGAUUCCCCCAGUAGCGGCGAGCGAACGGGGAGCAGCCCAGAGCCUGAAUCAGUGUGUGUGUUAGUGGAAGCGUCUGGAAAGGCGCGCGAUACAGGGUGACAGCCCCGUACACAAAAAUGCACAUGCUGUGAGCUCGAUGAGUAGGGCGGGACACGUGGUAUCCUGUCUGAAUAUGGGGGGACCAUCCUCCAAGGCUAAAUACUCCUGACUGACCGAUAGUGAACCAGUACCGUGAGGGAAAGGCGAAAAGAACCCCGGCGAGGGGAGUGAAAAAGAACCUGAAACCGUGUACGUACAAGCAGUGGGAGCCUCUUUAUGGGGUGACUGCGUACCUUUUGUAUAAUGGGUCAGCGACUUAUAUUCUGUAGCAAGGUUAACCGAAUAGGGGAGCCGAAGGGAAACCGAGUCUUAACUGGGCGUUAAGUUGCAGGGUAUAGACCCGAAACCCGGUGAUCUAGCCAUGGGCAGGUUGAAGGUUGGGUAACACUAACUGGAGGACCGAACCGACUAAUGUUGAAAAAUUAGCGGAUGACUUGUGGCUGGGGGUGAAAGGCCAAUCAAACCGGGAGAUAGCUGGUUCUCCCCGAAAGCUAUUUAGGUAGCGCCUCGUGAAUUCAUCUCCGGGGGUAGAGCACUGUUUCGGCAAGGGGGUCAUCCCGACUUACCAACCCGAUGCAAACUGCGAAUACCGGAGAAUGUUAUCACGGGAGACACACGGCGGGUGCUAACGUCCGUCGUGAAGAGGGAAACAACCCAGACCGCCAGCUAAGGUCCCAAAGUCAUGGUUAAGUGGGAAACGAUGUGGGAAGGCCCAGACAGCCAGGAUGUUGGCUUAGAAGCAGCCAUCAUUUAAAGAAAGCGUAAUAGCUCACUGGUCGAGUCGGCCUGCGCGGAAGAUGUAACGGGGCUAAACCAUGCACCGAAGCUGCGGCAGCGACGCUUAUGCGUUGUUGGGUAGGGGAGCGUUCUGUAAGCCUGCGAAGGUGGCCUGUGAGGGUUGCUGGAGGUAUCAGAAGUGCGAAUGCUGACAUAAGUAACGAUAAAGCGGGUGAAAAGCCCGCUCGCCGGAAGACCAAGGGUUCCUGUCCAACGUUAAUCGGGGCAGGGUGAGUCGACCCCUAAGGCGAGGCCGAAAGGCGUAGUCGAUGGGAAACAGGUUAAUAUUCCUGUACUUGGUGUUACUGCGAAGGGGGGACGGAGAAGGCUAUGUUGGCCGGGCGACGGUUGUCCCGGUUUAAGCGUGUAGGCUGGUUUUCCAGGCAAAUCCGGAAAAUCAAGGCUGAGGCGUGAUGACGAGGCACUACGGUGCUGAAGCAACAAAUGCCCUGCUUCCAGGAAAAGCCUCUAAGCAUCAGGUAACAUCAAAUCGUACCCCAAACCGACACAGGUGGUCAGGUAGAGAAUACCAAGGCGCUUGAGAGAACUCGGGUGAAGGAACUAGGCAAAAUGGUGCCGUAACUUCGGGAGAAGGCACGCUGAUAUGUAGGUGAAGUCCCUCGCGGAUGGAGCUGAAAUCAGUCGAAGAUACCAGCUGGCUGCAACUGUUUAUUAAAAACACAGCACUGUGCAAACACGAAAGUGGACGUAUACGGUGUGACGCCUGCCCGGUGCCGGAAGGUUAAUUGAUGGGGUUAGCGGUAACGCGAAGCUCUUGAUCGAAGCCCCGGUAAACGGCGGCCGUAACUAUAACGGUCCUAAGGUAGCGAAAUUCCUUGUCGGGUAAGUUCCGACCUGCACGAAUGGCGUAAUGAUGGCCAGGCUGUCUCCACCCGAGACUCAGUGAAAUUGAACUCGCUGUGAAGAUGCAGUGUACCCGCGGCAAGACGGAAAGACCCCGUGAACCUUUACUAUAGCUUGACACUGAACAUUGAGCCUUGAUGUGUAGGAUAGGUGGGAGGCUUUGAAGUGUGGACGCCAGUCUGCAUGGAGCCGACCUUGAAAUACCACCCUUUAAUGUUUGAUGUUCUAACGUUGGCCCCUGAUCGGGGUUGCGGACAGUGUCUGGUGGGUAGUUUGACUGGGGCGGUCUCCUCCUAAAGAGUAACGGAGGAGCACGAAGGUUGGCUAAUCCUGGUCGGACAUCAGGAGGUUAGUGCAAUGGCAUAAGCCAGCUUGACUGCGAGCGUGACGGCGCGAGCAGGUGCGAAAGCAGGUCAUAGUGAUCCGGUGGUUCUGAAUGGAAGGGCCAUCGCUCAACGGAUAAAAGGUACUCCGGGGAUAACAGGCUGAUACCGCCCAAGAGUUCAUAUCGACGGCGGUGUUUGGCACCUCGAUGUCGGCUCAUCACAUCCUGGGGCUGAAGUAGGUCCCAAGGGUAUGGCUGUUCGCCAUUUAAAGUGGUACGCGAGCUGGGUUUAGAACGUCGUGAGACAGUUCGGUCCCUAUCUGCCGUGGGCGCUGGAGAACUGAGGGGGGCUGCUCCUAGUACGAGAGGACCGGAGUGGACGCAUCACUGGUGUUCGGGUUGUCAUGCCAAUGGCACUGCCCGGUAGCUAAAUGCGGAAGAGAUAAGUGCUGAAAGCAUCUAAGCACGAAACUUGCCCCGAGAUGAGUUCUCCCUGACUCCUUGAGAGUCCUGAAGGAACGUUGAAGACGACGACGUUGAUAGGCCGGGUGUGUAAGCGCAGCGAUGCGUUGAGCUAACCGGUACUAAUGAACCGUGAGGCUUAACCUU